AGUGAACGCUGGCGGUAGGCCUAACACAUGCAAGUCGAACGGCAGCACAGUAAGAGCUUGCUCUUACGGGUGGCGAGUGGCGGACGGGUGAGGAAUACAUCGGAAUCUACUUUUUCGUGGGGGAUAACGUAGGGAAACUUACGCUAAUACCGCAUACGACCUACGGGUGAAAGCAGGGGAACUUCGGACCUUGCGCGGUUGAAUGAGCCGAUGUCGGAUUAGCUAGUUGGCGGGGUAAAGGCCCACCAAGGCGACGAUCCGUAGCUGGUCUGAGGGGAGGGACAGCCACACUGGAACUGAGACACGGUCCAGACUCCGACGGGAGGCAGCAGUGGCGAAUAUUGGACAAUGGGCGCAAGCCUGAUCCAGCCAUACCGCGUGGGUGAAGAAGGCCUUCGGGUUGUAAAGCCCUUUUGUUGGGAAAGAAAAGCAGCAGGUUAAUACCCCGCUGUUCUGACGGUACCCAAAGAAUAAGCACCGGCUAACUUCGU
rnacentral:rRNA from 1 species